GGUUCAACCAGUUAGACCCAAGAAUCAAUAGAAGUGCUUUCAGCGAAGAGGAAGAAGAAAGACUAAUGGCAGCUCAUAGAGUUUAUGGUAACAAAUGGGCCUUAAUUGCUCAACUUUUCCCUGGGAGGACAGAUAAUGCAGUUAAAAAUCACUGGCAUGUUAUUAUGGCUAGAAAAUACAGAGAGCAAUCCUUUGCUUAUAGGAGGAGAAAACAGACUGAAGCUGCUAAAAGAAGGGCGGAAGAUGGCAGUGGUUCUGCGAGCAGAAUUAAUGAAGUAGUACCCAAUCUUUGUAAUGGCAGAAUAAUCAAACCAUUUCAUCACGUCCCACUUGCUGAUGUUAAUUCUAAAGGUUUUUACGACUUGACUUCUAGUGAAGAUGCAGGCACAAGUGGUAGACUCUUGUUUGUUAGAAGCAGCAAUCUGCUCUCUCUUCCCCAAGGAUCAUGUGCAGAACAGACGCCUUUUGAUUUCUUUUCUGGUCACAAGAGUUAUGAGAUUGCGAAUCAGCAGGAGCACUGCAGUGGUACCACCUUCUUCGUUCUCCACAACAUGCAACAAUCAAGAAACCAUCACUUUUCUGCAGGCUUCUCAGACUCAAUGGCAUCAGCAACAUCUCAAGUCUCAGUCAGUGAACCAUCUUCAUCAUCAUCACUAUCGUUUGCAGAGAACAAUGCAGCCAGCCAUUUUGAG
rnacentral:misc_RNA from 1 species